CCUACGGGAGGCAGCAGUGGGGAAUAUUGCACAAUGGGCGCAAGCCUGAUGCAGCCAUGCCGCGUGUGUGGAGAAGGCCUUCGGGUUGUAAAGCACUUUCAGCGGGGAGGAAGGCGGUGAGGUUAAUAACCUCAUCGAUUGACGUUACCCGCAGAAGAAGCACCGGCUAACUCCGUGCCAGCAGCCGCGGUAAUACGGAGGGUGCAAGCGUUAAUCGGAAUUACUGGGCGUAAAGCGCACGCAGGCGGUCUGUCAAGUCGGAUGUGAAAUCCCCGGGCUCAACCUGGGAACUGCAUUCGAAACUGGCAGGCUAGAGUCUUGUAGAGGGGGGUAGAAUUCCAGGUGUAGCGGUGAAAUGCGUAGAGAUCUGGAGGAAUACCGGUGGCGAAGGCGGCCCCCUGGACAAAGACUGACGCUCAGGUGCGAAAGCGUGGGGAGCAAACAGGAUUAGAUACCCCAGUAGUC
rnacentral:rRNA from 1 species